UUUAUAGCCUGAAGAGCUAAUUUACCAGCACACAGACAAAGCAGCUGCAGCUGAGCUACAAGACAGGAUUGAAAAAAUACUAAAAGAAAAAAUCAUGGACUGGAGGCCCCGCCACCUGACUCGGUGGAAUAGGUACUGUACCUCCACUCUGCGUCACUUCUUGCCUCUGCUAGAAAGAAGUCAAGGAGAAGAUGUAGAAGACGACCACAGAGCAGAACUGCUGAGACAGCUAGGAGACUACAGGUUCUCUGGAUUUCCCCUUCACAUGCCCUACUCUGAAGUGAAGCCUUUAAUUGAAGCUGUGUAUAGCACUGGAGUACAUAAUAUUGAUGUUCCUAAUGUUGAAUUUGCUUUAGCUGUAUACAUCCACCCAUAUCCCAAAAACGUUUUGUCUGUUUGGAUCUAUGUUGCCUCCCUUAUACGCAACAGGUAAUUUUUUCAUUGUACUUUUUAUAUCAUGUAAAAACUACAUUUAGCAUAUGAGAAUAUUUUUAAACUGCA